rnacentral:rRNA from 1 species
GGGUUGUGAGGUUAAGCGACUAAGCGUACACGGUGGAUGCCCUGGCAGUCAGAGGCGAUGAAGGACGUGCUAAUCUGCGAUAAGCGUCGGUAAGGUGAUAUGAACCGUUAUAACCGGCGAUUUCCGAAUGGGGAAACCCAGUGUGAUUCGUCACACUAUCAUUAACUGAAUUCAUAGGUUAAUGAAGCGAACCGGGGGAACUGAAACAUCUAAGUACCCCGAGGAAAAGAAAUCAACCGAGAUUCCCCCAGUAGCGGCGAGCGAACGGGGAGCAGCCCAGAGCCUGAAUCAGUGUGUGUGUUAGUGGAAGCGUCUGGAAAGGCGCGCGAUACAGGGUGACAGCCCCGUACACAAAAAUGCACAUAUUGUGAGCUCGAAGAGUAGGGCGGGACACGUGGUAUCCUGUCUGAAUAUGGGGGGACCAUCCUCCAAGGCUAAAUACUCCUGACUGACCGAUAGUGAACCAGUACCGUGAGGGAAAGGCGAAAAGAACCCCGGCGAGGGGAGUGAAAAAGAACCUGAAACCGUGUACGUACAAGCAGUGGGAGCACGCUUCGGCGUGUGACUGCGUACCUUUUGUAUAAUGGGUCAGCGACUUAUAUUCUGUAGCAAGGUUAACCGAAUAGGGGAGCCGAAGGGAAACCGAGUCUUAACUGGGCGUUAAGUUGCAGGGUAUAGACCCGAAACCCGGUGAUCUAGCCAUGGGCAGGUUGAAGGUUGGGUAACACUAACUGGAGGACCGAACCGACUAAUGUUGAAAAAUUAGCGGAUGACUUGUGGCUGGGGGUGAAAGGCCAAUCAAACCGGGAGAUAGCUGGUUCUCCCCGAAAGCUAUUUAGGUAGCGCCUCGUGAAUUCAUCUCCGGGGGUAGAGCACUGUUUCGGCAAGGGGGUCAUCCCGACUUACCAACCCGAUGCAAACUGCGAAUACCGGAGAAUGUUAUCACGGGAGACACACGGCGGGUGCUAACGUCCGUCGUGAAGAGGGAAACAACCCAGACCGCCAGCUAAGGUCCCAAAGUCAUGGUUAAGUGGGAAACGAUGUGGGAAGGCCCAGACAGCCAGGAUGUUGGCUUAGAAGCAGCCAUCAUUUAAAGAAAGCGUAAUAGCUCACUGGUCGAGUCGGCCUGCGCGGAAGAUGUAACGGGGCUAAACCAUGCACCGAAGCUGCGGCAGCGACACUAUGUGUUGUUGGGUAGGGGAGCGUUCUGUAAGCCUGUGAAGGUGUGCUGUGAGGCAUGCUGGAGGUAUCAGAAGUGCGAAUGCUGACAUAAGUAACGAUAAAGCGGGUGAAAAGCCCGCUCGCCGGAAGACCAAGGGUUCCUGUCCAACGUUAAUCGGGGCAGGGUGAGUCGACCCCUAAGGCGAGGCCGAAAGGCGUAGUCGAUGGGAAACAGGUUAAUAUUCCUGUACUUGGUGUUACUGCGAAGGGGGGACGGAGAAGGCUAUGUUGGCCGGGCGACGGUUGUCCCGGUUUAAGCGUGUAGGCUGGUUUUCCAGGCAAAUCCGGAAAAUCAAGGCUGAGGCGUGAUGACGAGGCACUACGGUGCUGAAGUAACAAAUGCCCUGCUUCCAGGAAAAGCCUCUAAGCAUCAGGUAACAUCAAAUCGUACCCCAAACCGACACAGGUGGUCAGGUAGAGAAUACCAAGGCGCUUGAGAGAACUCGGGUGAAGGAACUAGGCAAAAUGGUGCCGUAACUUCGGGAGAAGGCACGCUGAUAUGUAGGUGAAGCGACUUGCUCGUGGAGCUGAAAUCAGUCGAAGAUACCAGCUGGCUGCAACUGUUUAUUAAAAACACAGCACUGUGCAAACACGAAAGUGGACGUAUACGGUGUGACGCCUGCCCGGUGCCGGAAGGUUAAUUGAUGGGGUUAGCGGUAACGCGAAGCUCUUGAUCGAAGCCCCGGUAAACGGCGGCCGUAACUAUAACGGUCCUAAGGUAGCGAAAUUCCUUGUCGGGUAAGUUCCGACCUGCACGAAUGGCGUAAUGAUGGCCAGGCUGUCUCCACCCGAGACUCAGUGAAAUUGAACUCGCUGUGAAGAUGCAGUGUACCCGCGGCAAGACGGAAAGACCCCGUGAACCUUUACUAUAGCUUGACACUGAACAUUGAGCCUUGAUGUGUAGGAUAGGUGGGAGGCUUAGAAGUGUGGACGCCAGUCUGCAUGGAGCCGACCUUGAAAUACCACCCUUUAAUGUUUGAUGUUCUAACGUAGGCCCGUAAUCCGGGUUGCGGACAGUGUCUGGUGGGUAGUUUGACUGGGGCGGUCUCCUCCUAAAGAGUAACGGAGGAGCACGAAGGUUGGCUAAUCCUGGUCGGACAUCAGGAGGUUAGUGCAAUGGCAUAAGCCAGCUUGACUGCGAGCGUGACGGCGCGAGCAGGUGCGAAAGCAGGUCAUAGUGAUCCGGUGGUUCUGAAUGGAAGGGCCAUCGCUCAACGGAUAAAAGGUACUCCGGGGAUAACAGGCUGAUACCGCCCAAGAGUUCAUAUCGACGGCGGUGUUUGGCACCUCGAUGUCGGCUCAUCACAUCCUGGGGCUGAAGUAGGUCCCAAGGGUAUGGCUGUUCGCCAUUUAAAGUGGUACGCGAGCUGGGUUUAGAACGUCGUGAGACAGUUCGGUCCCUAUCUGCCGUGGGCGCUGGAGAACUGAGGGGGGCUGCUCCUAGUACGAGAGGACCGGAGUGGACGCAUCACUGGUGUUCGGGUUGUCAUGCCAAUGGCACUGCCCGGUAGCUAAAUGCGGAAGAGAUAAGUGCUGAAAGCAUCUAAGCACGAAACUUGCCCC